rnacentral:rRNA from 1 species
ACAGAGGGUGCGAGCGUUGUCCGGAAUCACUGGGCGUAAAGCGCGCGUAGGCGGCCUCAUAAGUCCGUUGUGAAAGUCAAAGGCUCAACCUUUGAAAGCCGAUGGAUACUGUGAGGCUAGAGUCCGGAAGAGGCGAGUGGAAUUCCUGGUGUAGCGGUGGAAUGCGCAGAUAUCAGGAGGAACACCAAUAGCGAAGGCAGCUCGCUGGGACGGUACUGACGCUAAGGCGCGAAAGCGUGGGGAGCGAACAGGA